GCAUAUCAAUAAGCGGAGGAAAAGAAACUAACAAGGAUUCCCCUAGUAACUGCGAGUGAAGCGGGAAAAGCUCAAAUUUUGAAUCUGGCAGUCUUUGCAGGCCGUCCGAGUUGUAAUCUAGAGAAGCGUCUUCCGCGCCGGCCUGUGUACAAGUCUCCUGGAAGGGAGCGUCAUAGAGGGUGAGAAUCCCGUCUCUGACACGGACCACCGGUGCUAUGUGAUGCGCUCUCGACGAGUCGAGUUGUUUGGGAAUGCAGCUC
rnacentral:rRNA from 1 species